CCCUAGCCCUGAUGGAAGCGGCAUCCUUUUGUUUUUUUCUUUAAAAAACAAAAGAUACAGCGGACAGCAGGAAACAGC
rnacentral:sRNA from 1 species